rnacentral:rRNA from 1 species
UUGGAGGGCAAGUCUGGUGCCAGCAGCCGCGGUAAUUCCAGCUCCAAUAGCGUAUAUUAAAGUUGUUGCAGUUAAAAAGCUCGUAGUUGAAUUUCGGGGUCAGUAGGUUGGUCAUGCCACUGGUAUGUACUGGUCUCACUGAUUCCUCCUUCCUGAUGAGCCGUAAUGCCAUUAAUUUGGUGUUGCGAGGAAUCUGGACUGUUACUUUGAAAAAAUUAGAGUGUUUAAAGCAAGCUAACGCUUGAAUACAUUAGCAUGGAAUAAUGAAAUAGGACGUUCGAUCCUAUUUUGUUGGUUUCUAGGAUUGACGUAAUGAUUAAUAGGGAUAGUUGGGGGCAUUAGUAUUCAAUUGUCAGAGGUGGAAUUCUUGGAUUUAUUGAAGACUAACUACUGCGAAAGCAUUUGCCAAGGAUGUUUUCAUUAAUCAAGAACGAAAGUUAGGGGAUCGAAGACGAUCAGAUACCGUCGUAGUCUUAACCAUAAACUAUGCCGACUAGGGAUCGGAUGAUGUUAAUUUUUUAAUGACUCAUUCGGCGCCUUACGGGAAAC